rnacentral:lncRNA from 1 species
UUGCAUAGGAACUACAUCACAUGUCACCUCAUCACUAUACUUUCUAAUAGUAAAAGGCACCCUCACUUGCUUAUUAACUCUCACCCUCCCCACUAUUGUUAAGCCAUUGUAGUUUAUAGGGUUUAUGAUGUUUUGUAGUUUCUAAACCCAGUUUAUCAACAAACAAGGUACUAGCCACAUUUACACAACUAUCCCCAUCACUAAUCAUGCUAUACAAUUUUUCAUUCACUAGAUAUCUAUAAUGAAAAUUGUUUUCUCUUUGCAACUUAACCCCCUCAUCAUCAUUCCUUACUUGCGUAUUCAAAGCAUGCUUAGAAACCAACAAUCUAUCUUCCAUAGGUGUUUUCCUAUCACUACAAUCCUCCAAAGGAGGCAUUUCAUCCUCCACAUCACUCUCAUC